ACGAAAUUUCAAAAUCUGGUUGUAACCACGUUACAGCACCGUUGUGCCCAGCCAAAUGUACCAUAAGAUUGGGGCAUGUCCCGGAAAUCAUUACUGUAUAAAUGACACUUGUUUUUGUCAAGCAUAUUGCUAGCUGAAACGGUAGCAGCACUCCUCACAUUGCGAGAGUUUUUUGUCAAGACAAAAUGAGGCUGAUGUAUGGUUUUCAGUUAGUGAAUAUACCUUGUUGCCAGAUUUGAAUAUCUUUAUUGGACAUCAACAAUCUCUAAAUGGAAGUGAGAAACCCCUAUAGCCAUAUUCUAGCCCACAGAUUCCAUGUUGAUUUGGAAAACGCUGUUUUUUUUUAACUGGCUCAGGAUAAUUUCCUGCUAAAAGCUGGAAAUCCACCUGGAACAAAUUUUGUUUUCAGCUGGAAGUCGAACUGAAAAUUCAUUUUUGGCUGGAAAUUCAUAUGUUGUUUCCAUGUCGGCAGGCAGGCAUUUACUAUUCUGGCAGUAGCAGCUGGUGAUUUCAUACUGAACUAAUGUUUUCUUUCAGUCAUGUUAGACUGCUUGCAGCAUUCCAUUUGGCAUGGAAUUCUUUUGGGUGCCAAGCACUGCCCCAUGUUGUGCGUGUAAGUGAAUAUUUUCGUUGUGAUCUGUUCUCAUCCAUCAUCAACAUUGCAUGACAUGAGACUCACCUGCAUGCAUUAAGUGGUUACAGAAAAUGUUCUCUGUAUGAAAUAACAUAAAUGCUCGAAAUACUUAGUCAAAUGGUGUUUCGAUACAUUGCUAAUUGCAUUAAUGUCAAUAGUGAUCGUAAGAUAAGUUCUAUGGGAAGUUUUGUUUUUUUAACCGAGCUUGCUGUGUCUUUUUUUCCUCCUUUACCUUUUAUACAAUCUAUAUAAAUUGUGCACUAUGUGCUAAGUGAUCCUUGCAGUUUUAUUAAAAUAUGCAUACAACAUGCCACAAAAGUGUUAAAGACCAGUGUUUCUUUCCAAGACUGUACAUGUGACCUGUGCUGUUCGUGAAAAGUAGUGAAUGCUCAUCCACAGUGUUUUCAAUAUAUUUGUUUGUAAGGCAAUGUAGUGUGAUCGCUGAUUGCCUGUGGUACUUUUCAAGAGUAUGGCCUAUAUCAGUUUAGAUAUACAUUGUGUUUGUGUGCUGUAUUUAUGGAUGAAAUCACACUGACUUGACCAGUGUAAUGUUUCCAGAGAUAUCCAUGUAUUGGAACUGCUUUCAGAUAAAGUAGUCCAAUCUUCGUGUAGAUGUCUGAUGUUGCGUCUUGGCAGACUGCACAUGGCCCACCUUACCAUUAUUUCCAUUGCAUAAUCACACAAUCUUGCUUUGAGCAUGUAACCAUGCAAAGAGGUAAGACACAAUACACAAAGUGAAUUUGUCAAAACGUCUUUUUUUUUCUUGUACUUUGCAGAUGCAAAAAAAGUGGAGAGGGCGGGUGGGUUGAACAAGGUGAAAAUGCCGUAUAUAUACACUGAAAAGCAUUGCAGUAUGUACAUACAAGUGAAAAUGACAACAGACAUGAGGGAUGAGCAGUGUAACAGUCUCUUAACAUGUGUAAACAUCUAUGUACACGAGAUCGUUCAAUUUGUGUGUGUAUUGUGUGCGAGAUCCACGUGGACUUGGGGUAUUGAAAGAGAUCUGUAUUCAUGUGACACAAGCUGUGUAGAGCAAAGUGCAUGUAAAUGAGCGAGAAUUGUUUAUGAAUAUGCUGUACAAAGAUCUAUGUGAAGCAUGGCAGCAUCUGUGAAAAAAAUGAGAACCCCAAAAUAAAGAUGCAUUUUUCAAUAAAUGUU
rnacentral:lncRNA from 1 species